UCUCCUCAGAUCAGAAGGUGAUUGUGGCUUUGAGUAAUAAUUUAGCAGCCACAGCACUGCCUGGUCAGAG
rnacentral:pre_miRNA from 1 species